CCUCCUCCCUGCCUCCCCUCCACACGAUGGCCUCCGUCUCGUACUCCUUGCGGCACAGGUUGUGUCUGUCCGACAGGCUCGCCCGCCGCACCACUUUUCUGCAGACGCAGCAAUUUUCGAGUGAGACAGUGUCCAGCAGGAUGGCUCUGAACUCCUCGUCCUCACACAGAUCUGGGAAAAAAAAAGAGAGAAGCAUGGAAGAGGAAAGACGUCAGCUCCUUUUAAAAAUGAACCUGCUGCUCUCUUACAAAUAAAACAACAGAACGAG